AGUUGGUGGAGUGAUUUGUCUGGUUAAUUCCGUUAACGAACGAGACCCCCGCCUGCUAAAUAGAUUGGUGAAUGGUUAUACCAUUGACUGAAUCUUCUUAGAGGGACUCCUCGUUUCAAACGAGGGGAAGCUGGGGGCAAUAACAGGU
rnacentral:rRNA from 1 species